GGGGGCGAAACGGCUUCGACGGGGAUACGUAAGCUCGGGCUGCAUACCGAGGUUCCUGUCACCCUCGUAAAACAGACGGGACCUAAAGAUAGUCGCAGACGACUACUCUUACGCUCUGGCUGCAUAGCCAGCGUCCCUCCGGUCCGCUCCCGCGGGGCCGGAACGGGCGUCGACUAGCGGGAUAGCUUCCGGGUAGCCGCCCGCCGGCCCGGCGGCGAAAAAAAAUGGCAGGAUAGCGCCCCCGGGGUCUUGGUCCUGGGGAGCCCUCGGGCGCGAUAAGCAGAUCAACAGGAAUAAGUAUGUAGAAGCCUGAAGGGGAGUAUUUUCGGACGCGGGUUCAACUCCCGCCGCCUCCACCA
rnacentral:tmRNA from 1 species